rnacentral:rRNA from 1 species
GUAGCGGUGAAGUGCGUAGAUAUUCGGAGGAACACCAAUUGCGAAGGCAGCUCACUGGGCCGCUAUCGACGCUGAGGAGCGAAAGCUAGGGGAGCAAACAGGAUUAGAUACCCUGGUAGUCCUAGCUGUAAACGAUGGAUACUAGACGUAGGAAUUGGAUUAACGAUUUCUGUGUCGUAGCUAACGCGUUAAGUAUCCCGCCUGGGGAGUACGGUCGCAAGACUAAAACUCAAAGGAAUUGACGGGACCCCGCACAAGCGGCGGAGCAUGCGGCUUAAUUCGAUGAUACCCGUAGAACCUUACCUGGACUUGACAUAUAGGGAAAAGUUAUAGAAAUGUAAUGUGCAUUAGCGCCCUAUACAGGUGGUGCAUGGCUGCCGUCAGCUCGUGUCGUGAGAUGUUGGGUUAAGUCCCGCAACGAGCGCAACCCCUGUCCUAUGUUGCCAGCAGGUAAUGUUGGGGACUCAUAGGAGACUGCCGGUGAUAAACCGGAGGAAGGUGGGGACGACGUCAAGUCAUCAUGCCCCUUAUGUCCAGGGCUGCACGCAUGCUACAAUGGCAAGUACAACGAGUCGCAAUACCGCGAGGUGGAGCAAAUCUCUUAAAGCUUGUCUCAGUUCGGAUAGGAGUCUGCAACUCGACUCCUUGAAGUUGGAGUCGCUAGUAAUCGCAAAUCAGCAAAGUUGCGGUGAAUACGUUCUCGGGGUUUGUACACACCGCCCGUCAAGUCACGGAAGUCGGCAAUACCCGAAGCCAGUGGUCCAACCCUUUUGGGAGGAAGCUGUCGAAGGUAGGGUCGGUAACUGGGACUAAGUCGUAACAAGGUAGCC